GAAGCCUGCCAGACCGCCGCUGGUGCAAGGCCCGAAAGGGUGCACUGGAGGAACGUCCGGACUGCGCAGGGCAGCGUAGGAGCUAACGGCUCUCCACCGUGAGGUGAGGAUCAGAGCAACAGAGACGAGCCGCUUCAGUGCGGGUGAAACGGGCAAUCUCUACGCGCAGCAACACCAAGUAGGCCAGCGUUGAUGUGGCUCCGCAGAGCUGGCGGGUAGGUGGCAUCGAGCCGGGUGGGCGACCCCCGGCCCAGAGUAAUGGCGGUCACGCCCCGGGCGACCGGGGUGCACAGAAUCCGGCGUACCGGCGGGCUUCACAC
rnacentral:RNase_P_RNA from 1 species